UCUCCGUUGGUGAACCAGCGGAGGGAUCAUUACCGAGUUUACAACUCCCAAACCCCUGUGAACAUACCUUAAUGUUGCCUCGGCGGAUCAGCCCGCGCCCCGUAAAACGGGACGGCCCGCCAGAGGACCCAAACUCUAACGUUUCUUAUUGUAACUUCUGAGUAAAACAAACAAAUAAAUCAAAACUUUCAACAACGGAUCUCUUGGUUCUG
rnacentral:misc_RNA from 1 species